AUUGAACGCUGGCGGCAGGCCUAACACAUGCAAGUCGAGCGAGAGGCGGACGGGUGAGUAAUGUCUGGGAAACUGCCUGAGGGAGGGGGAGAACUACUGGAAACGGUAGCUAAUACCGCAUACCAUCAGAUGUGCCCAGAGGGGAUUAGAUAGUAGGUGGGGUAACGGCUCACCUAGGCGACGAUCCCUAGCUGGUCUGAGAGGAUGACCAGCCACACGGGAACUGAGACACGGUCCAGACUCCUACGGGAGGCAGCAGUGGGGAAUAUUGCACAAUGGGCGCAAGCCUGAUGCAGCCAUGCCGCGUGUAUGAAGAAGGCCUUCGGGUUGUAAAGCACUUUCAGCGGGGAGGCGUUACCCGCAGAAGAAGCACCGGCUAACUCCGUGCCAGCAGCCGCGGUAAUAC
rnacentral:rRNA from 1 species